CCCUAUGGGGUGCAGCAGUCGCGAAAACUCCGCAAUACGCGAAAGCGUGACGGGGCUAUCCCGAGUGCCGUCCGCUGAGGAUGGCUUUUCCCUAGUGUAUAAAGCUGGGGGAAUAAGGAGAGGGCAAGCCUGGUGUCAGCCGCCGCGGUAAUACCAGCUCUCCGAGUGGUGGGGAUGCUUAUUGGGCCUAAAGCAUUCGUGGCCGGUUGGGCAAGUCCUCCGUUAAAUCCAGCGAUUCAAUCGUUGGACUGCAGGGGAUACUGUCCGGCUAGGGGGCGGAAGAGGCCGACGGUAUUCUCGGGGUAGGGGUGAAAUCCUAUAAUCCCGGGAGGACCACCAGUGGCGAAGGCUGUCGGCUAGAACGCGCCCGACGGUGAGGGAUGAAAGCUGGGGGAGCGAACCGGAUUAGAUACCCGGGUAGUCCCAGCUGUAAACGAUGCAGGCUAGGUGUUGGCGCGGCUACGUGCCGCUCCAGUGCCGCAAGGAAGCCGUUAAGCCUGCCGCCUGGGAAGUACGGCCGCAAGGCUGAAACUUAAAGGAAUUGGCGGGGGAGCACCACAAGGGGUGAAGCUUGCGGUUUAAUUGGAGUCAACGCCGGAAAUCUCACCGGGGGCGACAGCAGGUUGAAGGCCAGAUUGAAAGUCUUGCCAGACAAGCUGAGAGGAGGUGCAUGGCC
rnacentral:rRNA from 1 species